rnacentral:rRNA from 1 species
GACGAACGCUGGCGGCGUGCUUAACACAUGCAAGUCGAACGGAAAGGCCCUGCUUUUGUGGGGUGCUCGAGUGGCGAACGGGUGAGUAACACGUGAGUAACCUGCCCUUGACUUUGGGAUAACUUCAGGAAACUGGGGCUAAUACCGGAUAGGAGCUCCUGCUGCAUGGUGGGGGUUGGAAAGUUUCGGCGGUUGGGGAUGGACUCGCGGCUUAUCAGCUUGUUGGUGGGGUAGUGGCUUACCAAGGCUUUGACGGGUAGCCGGCCUGAGAGGGUGACCGGCCACAUUGGGACUGAGGUACGGCCCAGACUCCUACGGGAGGCAGCAGUGGGGAAUAAUGCACCAUGGGCGGAAGCCUGAUGCAGCAACGCCGCGUGCGGGAUGACGGCCUUCGGGUUGUAAACCGCUUUCGCCUGUGACGAAGCGUGAGUGACGGUAAUGGGUAAAGAAGCACCGGCUAACUACGUG